GGAAUCUACCUAGUAGUACGGAAUAGCCAUUAGAAAUGGUGGGUAAUACUGUAUAAUCACCGAGGGGGAAAGAUUUAUCACUAUUAGAUGAGCCUACGUUAGAUUAGCUAGUUGGUGAGGUAAUGGCUUACCAAGGCUAUGAUCUAUAGCUGGUCUGAGAGGACGAUCAGCCACACUGGAACUGAGAUACGGUCCAGACUCCUACGGGAGGCAGCAGUGGGGAAUAUUGGACAAUGGGCGAAAGCCUGAUCCAGCUAUGCCGCGUGAGUGAGGAAGG
rnacentral:rRNA from 1 species